rnacentral:tRNA from 1 species
GGUGGUGUAGCUCAACUGGAUAGAGCAACGGCCUUCUAAGCCGUAGGUUGCAGGUUCAAGUCCUGCCACCAUCACCA